GGUCCUUUUGCAUUUCUAAUUCAUGUCAUCCUGGACUCUUUUAGCGAAGUUCAUUACUGGAUUCUCUAUUGCUUAUUUUGCUGCAUCACUUGUGUUUUUUAAGGACUCUUCCAUACGUUUGAGUGUCACCUUCACUAUCGUGUUGAUUGGAAGGCACUGCACUCCCUUCAACACGUGGUUGUUCUUAUACGCAUCAUCUAUGUCAGUGCCCAUGAUGCCAUACCUAGCUCCUCUUGUGUCAUGCAGCAGUGA
rnacentral:rRNA from 1 species